rnacentral:rRNA from 1 species
CCCGCUGAACUUAAGCAUAUCAGUAAGCGGAGGAAAAGAAACUAACAAGGAUUCCCUGAGUAACGGCGAGUGAAACGGGAAGAGCUCAAAUUUAAAGUCUGGUACCCUUAAAUAUGGGUAUCCGAAUUGUAAUUGAGAGGGUCUUCUUUUGAUGAAGGUGAUGGCCAAAGUUCUCUGGAAAGGGGCAACAAAGAGGGUGACAUUCCCGUCUGGGUCAUCAUUACACUGAGUCAGUAUAAAGGAGGCUCUAAGAGUCGGAUUGUUUGGGAAUGCAGUCCAAAAUGGGUGGUACAUUUCAUCUAAAGCUAAAUAUAGGCAAGAGACCGAUAGCGAACAAGUACCGUGAGGGAAAGAUGAAAAGAACUUUGAAAAGAGAGUUAAAUAGUACGUGAAAUUGUUAAAAGGGAAACGAUUGAGACCAGUGAUGUGACAGCUCUAAAGCAUUUCUCUUGGGAAAUGUGUGUAUGAUGAGCUGUUCACGAGUCGACGCUCCUUUUGUGCCUUGGAAAAGACGGUAGGAAAGAUGGCUCCAUCUUCGGAUGGCUGCUUUAUAGUCCUAUCGGGAUACAAGGUGUGGGAGGAGACAGGUAGGCUUACUUUUUUGCAAGUCACGUCGACGAAAUGGUCUUAAACGACCCGUCUUGAAACACGG